AUUGAACGCUGGCGGCAUGCCUUACACAUGCAAGUCGAACGGCAGCACGGGAGCAAUCCUGGUGGCGAGUGGCGAACGGGUGAGUAAUAUAUCGGAACGUGCCCAGUCGUGGGGAUAACGUAGCGAAAGCUACGCUAAUACCGCAUACGAUCUAUGGAUGAAAGCGGGGGAUCGCAAGACCUCGCGCGAUUGGAGCGGCCGAUAUCAGAUUAGGUAGUUGGUGAGGUAAAGGCUCACCAAGCCGACGAUCUGUAGCUGGUCUGAGAGGACGACCAGCCACACUGGGACUGAGACACGGCCCAGACUCCUACGGGAGGCAGCAGUGGGGAAUUUUUGGGACAAUGGGCGCAAGCCUGAUCCAGCAAUGCCGCGUGCAGGAUGAAGGCCUUCGGUUGGUAAC
rnacentral:rRNA from 1 species